rnacentral:rRNA from 1 species
GAUGAACGCUGGCGGCGUGCUUAACACAUGCAAGUCGAACGAAGCACUUUAACCUGAUUCUUCGGAUGAAGGUUUUUGUGACUGAGUGGCGGACGGGUGAGUAACGCGUGGGUAACCUGCCUCAUACAGGGGGAUAACAGUUAGAAAUGACUGCUAAUACCGCAUAAGACCACAGAGCCGCAUGGCUCGGUGGGAAAAACUCCGGUGGUAUGAGAUGGACCCGCGUCUGAUUAGGUAGUUGGUGGGGUAACGGCCUACCAAGCCAACGAUCAGUAGCCGACCUGGGAGGGUGACCGGCAACAUUGGGACUGAGACCCGGCCCAAACUCCUACGGGAGGCAGCAGUGGGGAAUAUUGCACAAUGGGGGAAACCAGGAUGCAGCGACGCCGCGUGAGCGAAGAAGUAUUUCGGUAUGUAAAGCUCUAUCAGCAGGGAAGAAAAUGACGGUACCUGACUAAGAAGCACCGGCUAAAUACGUG